rnacentral:lncRNA from 1 species
UUCCUCAGAGUCAGCUUCCUUUCACUCCAACGCAGCCUGGCCACGGCACAUUUGCAGGUAUGUACCACCCUUCACAGGCAGCAGCAACUGUUCACCCUCUUCUGCAACAAUCUCAAACCAUUACAAGUCCUGUCGAUAUGGUUGGACCUCCAACUAGUGUUUAUCAGCAACCACAGCAUACAGUUUCGUUGUUUUGAGAGAAAAAAGUAUUAUCCUCUGAUUCUUGUCUGAUGAUGCAUUGGGUGAGUACACUAAUGUUGCGAAUUUGCUUCUCUGCAGAGUGAGGGUUCAGGCGUAUGGUUUACAACUCCCAGUCAGGAUAUUUCUUCCUUACAGGCUAGUUCGUUUUACAAUCUUCCUCAGAGUCAGCUUCCUUUCACUCCAACGCAGCCUGGCCACGGCACAUUUGCAGGUAUGUACCACCCUUCACAGGCAGCAGCAACUGUUCACCAUCUUCUGCAACAAUCUCAAACCAUUACAAGUCCUGUCGAUAUGGUUGGACCUCCAACUAGUGUUUAUCAGCAACCACAGCAUACUCAACUCAACUGGUCUAGUAACUACUGAAUGAGGAGACGUUUCUUUUGAAAAUCAAUUACAUUUUAGAGUUCCAAUCUUGAAUCGUCUAAUGUGACGUCAAACAAGUUUUGAUUU